rnacentral:rRNA from 1 species
UACGUAGGGUGCAAGCGUUGUCCGGAAUUAUUGGGCGUAAAGAGCUCGUAGGCGGUCUGUCGCGUCUGCUGUGAAAACUCAGGGCUUAACCCUGAGCUUGCAGUGGGUACGGGCAGACUAGAGUGGCGGUAGGGGAGACUGGAAUUCCUGGUGAUAGCGGUGAAAUGCGCAGAUAUCAGGAAGAACACCAAUGGCGGAAGGCAGCUCUCUGGGACGGUAACUGGACGCUGAGACGCGAAAGCGUGGGGAGCGAACAGG